rnacentral:misc_RNA from 1 species
CACCACUCAAGCCUCGCUUGGUAUUGGGGCCCUACAGCUGAUGUAGGCCCUCAAAGGUAGUGGCGGACCCUCCCGGAGCCUCCUUUGCGUAGUAACUUUACGUCUCGCACUGGGAUCCGGAGGGACUCUUGCCGUAAAACCCCCAAUUUUCCAAA